rnacentral:rRNA from 1 species
UACAGAGGUCCCAAGCGUUGUUCGGAUUUACUGGGCGUAAAGGGUGCGUAGGUGGCGAGGUAAGUUCGAUGUGAAAUCUCCGAGCUCAACUCCGGAAAUGGCAUUGAAUACUAUCCCGCUUGAGGGUCGGAGGGGAGACGUGGAAUUCUCGGUGUAGUAGUGAAAUGACGUAGAUAUCAGGAGGAACACCAAUGGCGAAGGCAGCUCUCUGGGGACGGUACUGACGCUGAGACGCGAAAGCGUGGGGAGCGAACAGG